rnacentral:rRNA from 1 species
GAUGAACGCUGGCGGCGUGCCUAAUACAUGCAAGUCGAGCGAACGGACGAGAAGCUUGCUUCUCUGAUGUUAGCGGCGGACGGGUGAGUAACACGUGAAUAACCUACCUAUAAGACUGGGAUAACUUCGGGAAACCGUAGCUAAUACCGGAUAAUAUUUUGAACCGCAUGGUUCAAAAGUGAAAGACGGUCUUGCUGUCACUUAUAGAUGGAUCCGCGCUGCAUUAGCUAGUUGGUAAGGUAACGGCUUACCAAGGCAACGAUGCAUAGCCGACCUGAGAGGGUGAUCGGCCACACUGGAGCUGAGACACGGUCCAGACUCCUACGGGAGGCAGCAGUAGGGAAUCUUCCGCAAUGGGCGAAAGCCUGACGGAGCAACGCCGCGUGAGUGAUGAAGGUCUUCGGAUCGUAAAACUCUGUUAUUAGGGAAGAACAUAUGUGUAAGUAACUGUGCACAUCUUGACGGUACCUAAUCAGAAAGCCACGGCUAACUACGUG